AGAAUCUGUCCAUCAGCUGAGAGACAAACUGGAGGAUUUCUGCAAAGAGCAGCUCAAGAAGAUCUCAGACAGAGUCACAUUCACCAGCAUUGAUCUCUGGACCAGGAACGACUUCCUACAAUAUUCCCAUCAGUUCACUCUGGAUCUGAACACAGUGAAUAAUUACCUCCGUUUGUCUGAGAACAACAGAGUGAUUACUGACACUGGUACAGAUCAGUCGUAUCCUGAUCAUCCAGACAGAUUUGAUGAUGUGUGUCAGGUGUUGUGUAGAGAGAGUGUGUGUGGACGCUGUUACUGGGAGAUUGAGUGGAGUGGUUUAUUUGGUGUGUGUAUAUCAGUGUCAUAUAAGAGCAUCAGCAGGAAGGGACGGGGUAAAGAGUGUGUGUUUGGACGUAAUGAUCAGUCCUGGAGUUUGUGCUGCUUUUCCUCCAGUUACUCAUUCAGACACAAUAACAUAAAGACUGAUCUCCCUGUGAAGCCCAUCAGCAGUAGAAUAGGAGUGUUUGAUGAUGAUGAUGAUGAUAAGGAGGAGGAGGAGGAAGAGGAGGAUGAUGAUGAUGAUGAUAAGGAGGAGGAGGAGGAA